rnacentral:rRNA from 1 species
CUGACGUUAGCGGCGGACGGGUGAGUAACACGUGGGUAACCUACCUAUAAGACUGGGAUAACUCCGGGAAACCGGGGCUAAUACCGGAUAAUACAUGAAACCGCAUGGUUUCAUGAUGAAAGACGGUUUUGCUGUCACUUAUAGAUGGACCCGCGGCGUAUUAGCUAGUUGGUAAGGUAACGGCUUACCAAGGCAACGAUACGUAGCCGACCUUAGAGGGUGAUCGGCCACACUGGAACUGAGACACGGUCCAGACUCCUACGGGAGGCAGCAGUC